ACAUAUACACAUUGAACAAGACACACUUAUUUUACAUUACUGGACGGAGGCACCUCGUGGACGGAUCACGGAUAUACUACAUUUUGGCGACGAGUUCACCAGUUAUUUGCAUUAAAUUGCGAUUAGGUACUCUAUUAACCUAUCCUGUGUGAAUAAUCUCAGGCAUUCAAUUGCGAAUAAAAGAAACAAGGCAUUCAAUUGCGAAGAAAAAGGAACAAAGCAUUCAAUUGCGGAGAAAAACAAAAAAAGAGAACAAGGCAAUUGCAAAAGGUUACCUCGCAUUAAAUUGCAUGCAUUAAAUUGCGGUUUGUUAAUAAAAAGAACGUUACCAGUGAACCUCGAGUUAAAGACCAUUGAUCAGUUAGUCAAUAAUUAAAAAAAAA